rnacentral:piRNA from 1 species
GGAAAUGAUGAUGCCUAUGACUGCUGACA